GUCGGCGGUGUUCCGGCGUGUUGUGUGGUCUUUUUGUUUCUCCGAUCUUGUCGCGUGCAGGUGCAACUACUGGUGGGAGUACAACACUUGACUGUAAAAGGCAUUCACAACGGAACUCGGAGAAAGAGUUGUUAUACUAAUGGCACUGUGCAGAAAGGUAAUGGCACUGAAGAUUAUAUAAUUGGACAUUUUUGGGUUUGUUUUCGCUUUCUACAUGCAUAUCGUUCAGAACAAUAAAGUAUCACAUUAUUAUUUUAAA